UGUACAUACAUUCUUAUAUAUAUUAAAAUACAUCAAUAUAAUAAUAUAUUAUAUCAUAGGUAUUAAAAAACAAAUUUAAUGAACUUAUAUCAUUUACUGUACUGUUUAUAAUCAUAUAACAGGACAUCAGACCUUUUCUCUUUUUCACUUGUCUCAAGAAUUUUCCAUGUAGCUGCUUGGAUCCUUUGAUUGCUCAUACCGAGGCUCUUAACGAAAUAAAAUAUCUAUGCUCGGGUAGGUGAAGGUGAUUUUUAGCACAGAUUUUAAUAUGAAGAUGCAAACCGAAAUUUUAUCUAAACAUUAUCUGUUCAGGCACACAAGCACUGUCACUUUCAUUUAAAAUCUAGAUUUUGCUUUUUAAAAUAGCAAACUCAUUUCGGACCACCUCAAAAUCCUGGUAUUAGAAGUUUCCCAUUUGCAGUCUGGGUAACGCUGAGCGGUUGUUUUUGAGCAGGUUUUGAUUGUAUGCAGGUAAACAGUGUGCAUGAAGAGUAAAGGAGAAAUGUGCUUGCUGAAAUGUGAUUGUCUGGUAAUGACGUAGCAUUCAAUUGCAUUUUACUUUACAUUUUAUCUGCAUUCAUGGGCUGUAAGCAAUGAACAGAACAGGAAGCCUGCAUCAGGAUAUGUGCUGGAAGCCCCGAAACACUGACUGCUGCCCCGAGAGAUUACAACACAAACAACAAAGCAAACAAACUAAAAAAUAAAAAAUAAAAAAAAUAAAAUAAAAUAAAAAUUGUGACAUGAUAUCAGUAAGCAUUUUGGAUUCACCAUAACAGGUUGUGAACAAAGGUAAGCCUGCUACAAAAACAUUACUAGCUACGUGGGUGGAGUUAGUCAUAGUAAACAAAUUCUGUAGUCCUAGUCAAACGUUAUAUUUUCAACAAGCACACACUGACAACGCUAAACAAGAAAGACUUAUACACUCACUUCAUAAACUAAAAGGAAAACUCUUUGCUGAGUGCACUGUGACUCUCCUACUUCCCAGUUCCAAAGUUCAGUUUCCAAACACUUCCUUGUGUUGCGCACACGAGGUGGACUCUGCCUUUGCACGAAUGAGCCACUGCUUGACUGGCAGAGCAGAAUUGAUAGGCUGCUAUUGUUUCCUUUUAAGGUCAAUUGUGUCUCAAAUGCUUGGCAUGUCUGAGAGUACAGCUGGCUGGCAGGAGAGAUAAAACACUAAUUUUACUACAUUCUUCUGCGCAGUCCACACCUAGGGAGAAAGGGGGAGGCAGAGACAGAGAGAGUAUUUAAAAGAAGUAGGGAUAUGAAAGAUUUGAGCUGGUUUGGAAAGAGAAAAGAAGAAAAAAAAAAGUAUAGUUAUGGUUAAAGAAUGAAAACAAGGUGAAGACUACAGGUUUGGCCAAGUGGGUGAGCACUUUGACAGGGGCAUCAAGCUUUGCUGUGCCCUUAUUUGACUGGGCAGUCAAAACACGUCACCACAGUGGGUAAACACGCACAUAUAUACAUGGAUGCCUACCCACACAGAACUAAACAUCUCCCAGGAUGAGAGACCAAAUCGCAUUUCAUUGCCUCAAAUUUGCAUGUUUGACUCCUUAGCUUAAAAUGCUAAAUAUUCUGCUCCAGAGUGAUGGAGACUGUGAGGUGGGGUGGGGGUGGGGAC
ensembl:lncRNA